ensembl:lncRNA LINC02384 long intergenic non-protein coding RNA 2384
GCUGCCGCUAAUGGAGUUGGACUCAUGAGUGAGGGAGAAAGUGCCUGUGAAUGACAUCAUUAUGCGACAUCAUAGGACAGUUUUUUUUUUCUUUUAUUCACUCGUCUUUCUUUUAUUUCAACUGAUGAUAUCAGGUGGCUUCUUCAAAUGAUUUUUAAGUAUCUCGAUGAUGAUGAAGAACAAAGACAUCAAUCAGGAUUCAGGAAGACAGCUUUUGCGGAAAAUGCUUAAAGGGAAGCAUCAAGGAUUGGUGUUGAUAUUUGAAAGUUUAAGAGUGGUAUACUUUUAUUCAGUCAACACAUGACAAAUGUAAAAGGCACUCAUUUGUUGUUCCUGGAAGAAGCCUGGCAGCAUUCCAUUCAGACAUCUGCCCUUUCAUCGUCCCACUUUUUACUUAUUGCAGUCCUUUCAGUCUGAAUAUUUCCUCCUGACGCAUCUUCUGCCGUCCGAAAUGACUCCCUGCUCCCAGAUCCUGUAGCCCUUAUUAUUGACACCUUUCAUUUAGAAAUUUAGCACAUGUCACAUUACACCAUUAUUGAAUAAAUAAUGAAUAAAUAAAUAAAUAAAGAUGUAUGUCCUUCCCAAGUAUAUCAGAGAACUAUCUGGACAAUUUCUUUCUUUCCCAAUUCUCAGAAUCAGCAGUAUUCUGUCAAGAAACAUUUAUCGACGAUGAUGGCAAUAGUCGAUUAAAAUCAGAUGAAGUUUUAUUUUUAAAAAAAGGUUGAGCGGAGAGACAAGGCUGAAGGUUUGGAAGUUGAGACAACCAUCUUCAAUAAACGUUUUCUCAUCUAAGGGCUGUAUGUACAUCAUUUUGGGGAAGGUAGAGAUUGAAGGAGGAAGAACAUCACUGGAGGAAGAGACAGCAGUUUGUCUUUCGAGUUUCAAUAAAGUUUCAAAAAUCUUG